rnacentral:rRNA from 1 species
AGAGUUUGAUCCUGGCUCAGAACGAACGCUGGCGGCAGGCCUAACACAUGCAAGUCGAGCGAGAUCUUCGGAUCUAGCGGCGGACGGGUGAGUAACGCGUGGGAACGUGCCCUUUGCUUCGGAAUAGCCCCGGGAAACUGGGAGUAAUACCGGAUGAGCCCUACGGGGGAAAGAUUUAUCGGCAAAGGAUCGGCCCGCGUUGGAUUAGGUAGUUGGUGGGGUAAUGGCCUACCAAGCCGACGAUCCAUAGCUGGUUUGAGAGGAUGAUCAGCCACACUGGGACUGAGACACGGCCCAGACUCCUACGGGAGGCAGCAGUGGGGAAUCUUAGACAAUGGGGGAAACCCUGAUCUAGCCAUGCCGCGUGAGCGAUGAAGGCCUUAGGGUUGUAAAGCUCUUUCAGCUGGGAAGAUAAUGACC